rnacentral:rRNA from 1 species
UACAGAGGUCUCAAGCGUUGUUCGGAUUCAUUGGGCGUAAAGGGUGCGUAGGCGGCGCGGUAAGUCGGGUGUGAAAUCUCGGAGCUUAACUUCGAAACUGCAUUCGAUACUGCCGUGCUUGAGGACUGGGAGAGGAGACUGGAAUUUACGGUGUAGCGGUGAAAUGCGUAGAUAUCGUAAGGAAGACCAGUGGCGAAGGCGGGUCUCUGGACAGUUCCUGACACUGAGACACGAAGGCCAGGGGAGCAAACGGG